GACGAACGCUGGCGGCGUGCUUAACACAUGCAAGUCGUACGGUAAGGCCCUUUCGGGGGUACACGAGUGGCGAACGGGUGAGUAACACGUGAGUAACCUGCCCACAACUUUGGGAUAACGCUAGGAAACUGGUGCUAAUACUGGAUAUGUGCUCCUGCUGCAUGGUGGGGGUUGGAAAGCUCCGGCGGUUGUGGAUGGACUCGCGGCCUAUCAGCUUGUUGGUGGGGUAGUGGCCUACCAAGGCGGCGACGGGUAGCCGGCCUGAGAGGGUGACCGGCCACAUUGGGACUGGGAUACGGCCCAGACUCCUACGGGAGGCAGCAGGGGGGAAUAUUGCACAAUGGGCGGAAGCCUGAUGCAGCAACGCCGCGUGCGGGAUGACGGCCUUCGGGUUGGAAACCGCUUUCAGCAGGGACGAAGCUUUUUGUGACGGUACCUGCAGAAGAAGCACCGGCUAACUACGUG
rnacentral:rRNA from 1 species